CCUACGGGGGGCAGCAGUGAGGAAUAUUGGUCAAUGGCCGGAAGGCUGAACCAGCCAAGCCGCGUGAAGGACGAAGGUGCCAAGCAUUGUAAACUUCUUUUGUCAAGGGACAAAAUCAGGCUCGAGAGCCUGACCGAGGGUACUGGAAGAAAAAGCAUCGGCUAACUCCGUGCCAUCAGCCGCGGUAAUGCGAGGGAUGCGUGGGUUUUCCGGAUUUAUUGGGUUUAAAGGGGGCGUAGGCGGGCUGUUAAGUAAGCGGGAAAAGCCCGGGGCUCAACCCCGGCGUGCAGUUGAAACUGGCUGUCUUGAGAGGACGAGAGGUAUGCGGAAUGCGCAGUGUAGCGGUGAAAUGCUUAGAUAUUGCGCAGAACACCGAUUGCGAAGGCAGCAUACCGGCGGCGAUCUGACGCUGAGGCACGAAAGCGUGGGUAUCGAACAGGAUUAGAUACCCGAGUAGUC
rnacentral:rRNA from 1 species